GUCGAGAAUCUUUCACAAUGGGGGCAACCCUGAUGGAGCGACGCCGCGUGGAGGAUAAGGUCUUCGGAUUGUAAACUCCUGUCAUGCGUGAACAAGGUUGCUUGGUUAAUACCUGGGCAAAUUGAUGGUAACGCAAGAGGAAGAGACGGCUAACUCUGUGCCAGCAGCCGCGGUAAUACAGAGGUCUCAAGCGUUGUUCGGAAUCACUGGGCGUAAAGGGUGCGUAGGUGGCGUGGUAAGUGAGAUGGGAAAGCCCGGGGCUCAACCUCGGAACUGCAUCCGAUACUGCCAUGCUAGAGUACUGGAGAGGUGACUAGAAUUCUCGGUGUAGCAGUGAAAUGCGUAGAUAUCGAGAGGAAUACCAAAGGCGUAGGCAGGUCACUGGACAGUUACUGACACUGAGGCACGAAGGCCAGGGGAGCGAACGGGAUUAGAAACCCGGGUAGUCC
rnacentral:rRNA from 1 species